rnacentral:rRNA from 1 species
CCCUUAGAUGUUCUGGGCUGCACGCGCGCUACACUGAUGCACUCAACGAGUUUACGACCUUGCCCGAUAGGGUUGGGUAAUCUUUUUAAAAUGCAUCGUGAUGGGGAUAGAUUAUUGCAAUUAUUAAUCUUCGACGAGGAAUUCCUAGUAAGCGCGAGUCAUCAGCUCGUGCUGAUUACGUCCCUGCCCUUUGUACACACCGCCCGUCGCUCCUACCGAUUGAGUGCUCAGGUGAAUAAUUCGGACUGCAGCAAUGUUUGGAUCCCGAACGUUGCAGCGGAAAGUUUAGUGAACCUUAUCACUUAGAGGAAGGAGAAGUCGUAACA